CUUUUACGUCUGGACUGGGGAAGUGUGGUCUUGUUGUGGGUGAGUGGGCCUCGCGGGCGAGUACCUGGCGGGCGAAGUUGGCGCGGGCUGAGGUUAGCUGCAGCUCUCUUGAGAUUUUAGACCUUUGAGCUUGGGGUGCUCUGGGUUCGAAAGUUGCACGUGGGAAACACGCAGCCAGACCGCCACGUGUCCUGCGUGAUGGUGGUGGCGGCGGCGGCAGGCUUCGAGUUCAGGCGUGCGGAGGCUGGUGCUGAUAGCCACGAGCGCUGCGCGCGGCCUAGUUAAGGGCGGACGCCCGGCUGGUGGAACCUGGGCGGCGGCGGCGGAAGAACAACCAUAUUCCCAGGAUUUGGGGCAGAGACUUAGUUUUACAUUGGGAAUAUGAGGCCUUUACUACUUAGACAAUUGUUUUUCUUUCUCGUCGCAGAUCAAAAGAUCGUUUGAAAAUGGGCCGUCCCCGACCUUGUCUGAGAUUGAGCUGUACUGUGCCCAGAUGGCGCUAUGUGCAAAGCAGAUUAGUAAAAGAGGCAGGGAUCUGGCAUUCUGUGAAAACGCUUAAUCUUCAAAAUAAUUGGUCCGCUGUGGGAACAUUGGGCUCUGUGUGGUGUAAAGGAGCUGUUACCUGGCGGUGAUAAGGUGGAGGGGGAAAUUCCAAAACAAAUAUCCAAGAGAAUAUUUGCUAGGAAAUGACUUGAUUGGAACCUGACAGUCUUAACCCAGUAUCCUGGAGAUUGAUGAACAAUAAUGGAGCUAUAAAUGUCACAGAGGAGCAACCUUGCUUUGAGGUGUCGCUGUCUGCCCAUGGAAAGAGGCCAGUUUGCAGUAACCUUCCUAAGGCAUAACUCAUUUCUGGCAAAUGCCACCAGAUUUACUUGUAUGAAAAACAUAAGGAAAAGCUCUUCAUUUUACUGGCAUGGAAAGAAAACCUACAAAUCAAGACCAUAUAUUCAUUUUUAUUUAUCGGGAAGACAUAGAGCAGAAAAUCACAUAAUUUAGUCCAUUUGAUUCUGCAGAGUCCACACUUGAACAAAUCAGGACCAAAAAGGUACAAUUUAGUGAAAUUAAGCUUGGAACUUUAACAUGUAAUUAACAUCAGCUUCCAUUAAAAUGGAAAACAACUACUAGAUUUGGAUGAUGUUUUUCAUUCACACAAUGGAGGUUUUGACUGUUAGAGUCUACUAGCCUUAUCCUUUGGGAAUGUUAACACACCAGGUAAUACCUUUAUAUUAACAAAUAGGUAACUACUAGUUACAAACAGGGUCCUUAAGUUACCUGGAUAAGGGACUUAACCUUUCUGAGCAUAUGUGCAACUUAAUAGAGAACUUAAUGGAGACUUAAAGACUUCAGGAAUAAAGGAAUAUGGCUCUAAUAGACGGAGAUCUGC
rnacentral:lncRNA from 1 species